CGAUAGCGUAUAUUAAAGUUGUUGCAGUUAAAAAGCUCGUAGUUGAACUUCUAGUUGAUUCCGUCGGCUCCUCUUGGAGCACGUUACGGAGCGCUAUCCCCUUUGAGAAAAAUACAUGUACUUCGUUGAACAGUAUUUAAAUCAAGGAAUUUACUUUGAAAAAUUAGAGUGUUUCAAGCAGGCGACUAGCUGGAAUACAUUAGCAUGGAAUAAUAGAAUAUGACCACUAUAUCAUUUUAUUUGUAUGUGAUUGGAGGUAAUGAUUAACAGGGACAGUUGGGGGCAUUAGUAUUGUAUUGUCAGAGGUGAAAUUCAUUGAUUAUUGCAAGACUAACUUAUGCGAAAGCAUUUGCCAAGGAUGUUUUCAUUAAUCAAGAACGAAAGUUAGGGGAUCAAAGACGAUCAGAUACCAU
rnacentral:rRNA from 1 species